rnacentral:rRNA from 1 species
GGGUGAGUAACACGUGAGCAACCUGCCCCUGACUCUGGGAUAAGCGCUGGAAACGGCGUCUAAUACUGGAUAUGUGACGUGACCGCAUGGUCUGCGUUUGGAAAGAUUUUUCGGUUGGGGAUGGGCUCGCGGCCUAUCAGCUUGUUGGUGAGGUAAUGGCUCACCAAGGCGUCGACGGGUAGCCGGCCUGAGAGGGUGACCGGCCACACUGGGACUGAGACACGGCCCAGACUCCUACGGGAGGCAGCAGUGGGGAAUAUUGCACAAUGGGCGAAAGCCUGAUGCAGCAACGCCGCGUGAGGGAUGACGGCCUUCGGGUUGUAAACCUCUUUUAGCAGGGAAGAAGCGAAAGUGACGGUACCUGCAGAAAAAGCGCCGGCUAACUACGUGCCAGCAGCCGCGGUAAUACGUAGGGCGCAAGCGUUAUCCGGAAUUAUUGGGCGUAAAGAGCUCGUASGCGGUUUGUCGCGUCUGCUGUGAAAUCCCGAGGCUCAACCUCGGGCCUGCAGUGGGUACGGGCAGACUAGAGUGCGGUAGGGGAGAUUGGAAUUCCUGGUGUAGCGGUGGAAUGCGCAGAUAUCARGAGGAACACCGAUGGCGAAGGCAGAUCUCUGGGCCGUAACUGACGCUGAGGAGCGAAAGGGUGGGGAGCAAACAGGCUUAGAUACCCUGGUAGUCCACCCCGUAAACGUUGGGAACUAGUUGUGGGGUCCAUUCCACGGAUUCCGUGACGCAGCUAACGCAUUAAGUUCCCCGCCUGGGGAGUACGGCCGCAAGGCUAAAACUCAAAGGAAUUGACGGGGACCCGCACAAGCGGCGGAGCAUGCGGAUUAAUUMGAUGCAACGCGAAGAACCUUACCAAGGCUUGACAUAUACGAGAACGGGCCAGAAAUGSUCAACUCUUUGGACACUCGUAAACAGGUGGUGCAUGGUUGUCGUCAGCUCGUGUCGUGAGAUGUUGGGUUAAGUCCCGCAACGAGCGCAACCCUCGUUCUAUGUUGCCAGCACGUAAUGGUGGGAACUCAUGGGAUACUGCCGGGGUCAACUCGGAGGAAGGUGGGGAUGACGUCAAAUCAUCAUGCCCCUUAUGUCUUGGGCUUCACGCAUGCUACAAUGGCCGGUACAAAGGGCUGCAAUACCGUGAGGUGGAGCGAAUCCCAAAAAGCCGGUCCCAGUUCGGAUUGAGGUCUGCAACUCGACCUCACGAAGUCGGAGUCGCUAGUAAUCGCAGAUCAGCAACGCUGCGGUGAAUACGUUCCCGGGUCUUGUACACACCGCCCGUCAAGUCAUGAAAGUCGGUAACACCUGAAGCCGGUGGCCUAACCCUUGGGAGGGAGCGUCCAAGGUGG